AUAUUGUUUUCAAUACAUUUUCAUUGGCGUAACUCAACAACAUCAAUAUUUUAAUGUUCCUCAUAUUCAACACUAGUGCUUUGAAAGGACUUGAUGAUACUUCACAACCGAAAUCCAAGGCUGCUGCUAGGUGGAUUAUUGUUAAGUGUAAUAGACAAAAAGGAAUCACAGAAUGUGGCUACUACGUGAUGCACUGGUUGUCCACGAUAAUCUUAGGAUCUUUCAAGAAUAAUUGGGAGACGUAUUUUAAUGAAGUUAGACCAUUGGAAGCAGAGAGAUUCAAGGC